rnacentral:rRNA from 1 species
GACGUAGGGCGCGAGCGUUGUCCGGAUUGAUUGGGCGUAAAGAGCUCGUAGGCGGCUUGUCGCGUCGUCCGUGAAAACCAGGGGCUCAACCCCUGGCUUGCGGUCGAUACGGGCAGGCUAGAGUUCGGUAGGGGAGACUGGAAUUCCUGGUGUAGCGGUGAAAUGCGCAGAUAUCAGGAGGAACACCGGUGGCGAAGGCGGGUCUCUGGGCCGAUACUGACGCUGAGGAGCGAAAGCGUGGGGAGCGAACAGG